rnacentral:rRNA from 1 species
AUGCCCCACGACCUCGCCUCCUAUUUCACGGUCGUCGCUAGCCCCCACUGCGUCUCCUCGGCUCUCCUCCCGCCCUGCCGCCAAGCUCGUGUUCAUCGAGUUCGAUGUUCAGGUCUACACACAUGCAGCCGUUGCAUUCACUCUCGAUUCAGCAGGAGGAGAUUAGUAUUCCCGGACGGACGGGCCUCUGUAGCCAGGUGGGUGAGAACGGCGAGCUGGUGCACUGCUUACACGUCGGCGCUGGCGCUUGACUGGUGGGAGUCGCGGCUCGACGUCAUCUUCGUCCACCCGCCUUGCUCGUGCGACGCGGCGCCACCCGACGGCAUGGCAGAAAUGUGA